GUGUGUGUGUGUGUGAGAGAGAGAGAGAGAAAGAGAGGUGGUGCUUACAAUGUCAAACCCUUAGGAAAUCACAACUUCUAUUGGUUUUAUUGGAAUUUAAGCUCAUUGUGUUGGUUUUAAGCACCCUCAGCUUAAAUGUUUGGGUUCACUGUCACUGGCACAAAUUCUAGCUGUGGCAACUGGCUGGUUUGUGCACAUAAACAAACCUUAAGCCCAACAUGGCCUCUACCUGCACAGCACCAACCAACAAAGUUAGCAACAGGAGCAGUUUGACACUGCGGAUCUCUGCCUGGGUUGAAAAUUCCCUCCACCCCACGCAUGAAUUGAGUCUCUAGGCUGGAUUGCAUCUGUGAAACUGCUAAUCACAGAGCACGGCACUUCAGAAACCAAUGGAUGGCAUCACGGUAGCUAUAUCCUCUUUUAUACUUUCUGUGUAUGUAACUAGCUAGCAAAGACGGCGUAGCAUUUAGCUAGAACCAGACAUUCUGCAGCAUUUUGUCUAAAGACAAAUAUAAGCAAAGUGUCCAAAUAAGUGUUUCUCAGAGUAUAUGUAUUUGUAAGUUGAACAUGUGCCUGCAACUGUAAAUGUUAAAAUAUGGCAUCCUCUUUUUUGUAGCUAAGAAUACCUGUAUUAGCUAGCAAUCACAGUUUUAACAUGUAAUUAGAUAAGUUUAAAUUCAUUCAUUGAGCUUUUUAAUGGCAGAAAAAAUAUAUAGUGAAAAAGUAGCUUCCUCAAAACCAAUUUUGUCCUUGAGAAUUUCUGCAGAAGUAAAAUAACUUCUUCCACAGGACGAAAGAGAAUGCUAAUGAGCAUGUGCAGAGUAAGUGUAAUCUCCAGCUUGUUUAUGCUCCGCUACAAUUGCCCCAUUUUACCAAAUGCUCCCGGUCUUCUACCGCUGGUAUUUGGGAUUGUGCUACUGGUCAGUAACAAUACCACAGACAUGUUUAUAAUCUUUGUUGAUAAGAAAAUAAAUGAAAAGGGAUGAGAUAGGCCAGGGGCUGCGUUUUUUUUGGAAGGUCUAACUGAGCAUCUGCAGUGGCUCCUAGGCAUGGCUUAUUUCCUUGGUACCUAAGAGAGAGGAUGACACACAGAGACAGAGGAAAGGGGUAAAGGUCAUGGAAACGAGGGCAAACAGAUGCAUAGGUAGGCACUGGUCCUGUUUCUGAACUUUUUCACUAAUUAGAAUCUUCUACUUCUUUUUCUUCUUUCAUCAUCUCUUUUUUACAGCCGCCUCUGUCACACCGACCCUCUGCUUGUCCUUCAUUACACCCAUAAACCUUCUCUGUGGUCUUUCACUUUUCCUCCCACUUGGCAGCUCCAAAUUCAACAUCCUUUGUCCAGUACAGCCACUGCCCAAACCAUUUCAACCUCGCCUCUCAAACUUUCCAAAAAAACUCAACCUGAGCUUUCACUGUGAUAUAGUUAUUUGUAAUCCUGUUCCUAAGAUCUGGUCCCUGAAAAUCUCAGCAUCUUCAGUCUGUCACUUGCAGCUCCAACUCGUGUCUUUUCAUCAGCACAACUGAUCUCCAAACCGGAUAUUAAAGCAGUUCUCACUAAUUCUCAUUCUUUUCAGUCCAAAAUAUGUUAAGUGUAUAUACAAUGCUUUGAUCUUCAUGAGAUUUGUCGUCUCUAAGUAACAAACUAUACUAUUUUUUCUCUCUUUAGACUGUCAAGGCUGCUUUAUUUGUUUUUUGUUUUUGUUGUUGUUGUUUUAAAUGCUGUUUAUGUUUAUUUUUUUCAGUGUUGUGUGGAGUGCAAUAAAAGUAGGCUAUCUUUAGAUUCUGCCAAAACACAGCUGAUGGGUUGUUGUUUUUAAAGCCUCACAGACAUUGGUAAGUUAGCUCACAGAUGCAUCCGGCUCCUGUCUGUACGUGUCUGUCUGUGUUGACCUUUUGCUGAUCACGAAUUAAAUAUCUGUGAGUGUUUCAGGUUCCUGGCCUUUGGAAGUUAUAUGGACUAACUCCCUGGGUCUGCUCUCCACUGAACCAAUAAAAGGCAAGUACACCAGACAACUGUUUCAUGCUCUUUUCCCUUUCCCCUGACCUCCUGUAUCUUCCUAUCUUUCUGAACAUGGCAUAUCUUCACACCCACUCCCUGGGAGAUGGAGGGAUGCUGAAAAUGAAAAGAAAAACAAUUAGUAGCUCUGAUGAGCCCGUGUGAGGUAAUGAAAUUGCGUGUCUCAUUGUAGCGUGUAAUGGAGAGCAGUUUGAAGUUAAUUGAGGGGAGAUAGGACACUGGGCCACUGUCUGCCAGAGUAUUGUAGUAGGGAACAGGAUUUAUCGGGGAGGGAAUCACUGAACCCAGAAAAAAAAAAAAAAAACAAUUCCUUAUCAGACAUCACAAAUGAGAAUUACUUGGCUUUAUCAGACUAGAUAGCAAGAUAAAUUGUUAUCAUAAUUAAAUUCAUAUUCUUUUCAUCUGUUUCUAGGUCAGGUUCAUGGUCACAAAGGGCCUGGCAGAACCACACUGGAGCCAAACAUUUAAGCCAAUCCAUGUUGAAAUUUAGUGCCAAAACCGCAUAUUAUCUUUUUUAAUUUUUAUAUUUUAUCCCUUUUCCUUAAACCAAUAAUAACUAUUAACUAUAUUUGCACACGUCUAUCAGUAAUAGAGAACCUGAGGAGUUGUUUUCAUAGCAUGACCUGACUGGUAAAUCUUCAGAAACAGUGUUGCAGUCUUGGGACUGAUACUCUUGUGGUUUUUAGAAGGAGAUAAAGUGCCACCUUCUGGUGGAAGGGCUGAAGGAUGGCAAUGUUCUGCUCUGUUAACUUGUGUCACCAUUAAUGUGUCUUAAAAGAAUGAGUGUAGGGGUAGAAAACUGCCUUCGCAGAGUUCAAAUAGAGAAAACAAAGCCGUGAAUCCCUGGGCAAGCCAUAACAAAACCUCGGUGCAUAGCAUAGAUCUUAUUUCAACAGUCUUUGAUGCACGUGCACAGUAAAAUCCUGUCAAUAUGAGUCUGUUUUAGAAUUUUCCUGCAUGUCUAAUUAUACAAAUGUUUUGUUUAACUCGCAAAUGAAUAACAACAGACUUGGCUCUUAAACUCUACUGUUUCUUUGCAUGACAGGUUUUUUGCAUGGUGGCCACAUUGCACAUGCUUAGCAGAGAGUCGAGGGUUUAAACAAGAUGUAUAAAUGCCACGAUGCAUAAAGAAAAGCUACGAAGCCCUGAGUCUGUUGCAUGUGAUGGGCGGGGAGUGUUUCUCGUCUCUCAGGCAGCGCUGACAAUUAAACGCAGCUUGCCUACAGUAUUGAUCAUGUCUCCCUGAUAGGCAGACCAGAACCACAGCACCUGUAUUCAUUAAACAACCUGUUUAGCAACCAUGCAGCGGAAGGAGAAGUCUGAGUCUGUUUGCAAAAAGAAAAAAAAAGUGCCACAGGCCACAAAACACCUGGAAGAUUGCACGGAAACUUUUCAACAGAGCGUCACGGAAGGAAGGAACCGACAGAAAGGGGGAAACACUUCAUGACCUUCGCUUAAGAAAAAGGAAAAGAAAAAAAACAGAGCAGUGAGAAGAGUCUUAAAGGGAAAACAGCACCAAAAGAAACAGUCAUGUUAAAUUGGAUGUGUUUAUUGGAAUAAUUAUUGGAAUGAGACAGUUAUUUGUUGCCUUAUUGCUUUAUAAACACUCGUUCGCUUUUGAGGUUUGGGAAUGAAAUGUUGACAAUUCUGACUCGCCCCUGUGAAAUUAAGAAAUGGUUUUGCAACCUAUUCAAUGAAUAUUAAAAAGAAGAUGCAUAUUGGAGCC
ensembl:lncRNA